UACGAAGGGGCUAGCGUUGUUUCGGAAUUACUGGGCGUAAAGCGCACGUAGGCGGAUCGAUCAGUCAGGGGUGAAAUCCCAGGGCUCAACCCUGGAACUGCCUUUGAUACUGUCGAUCUGGAGUAUGGAAGAGGUGAGUGGAAUUCCGAGUGUAGAGGUGAAAUUCGUAGAUAUUCGGAGGAACACCAGUGGCGAAGGCGGCUCACUGGUCCAUUACUGACGCUGAGGAGCGAAAGCCAGGGGAGCAAACGGG
rnacentral:rRNA from 1 species